rnacentral:rRNA from 1 species
CCUACGGGCGGCAGCAGUGGGGAAUAUUGGACAAUGGGCGAAAGCCUGAUCCAGCCAUGCCGCGUGUGUGAAGAAGGCCUUCGGGUUGUAAAGCACUUUCAGUGGGGAAGAAAGCCUUGGGGCUAAUACCCUCGAGGAAGGACAUCACCCACAGAAGAAGCACCGGCUAACUCCGUGCCAGCAGCCGCGGUAAUACGGAGGGUGCGAGCGUUAAUCGGAAUUACUGGGCGUAAAGCGCGCGUAGGCGGUCUGAUAAGCCGGUUGUGAAAGCCCCGGGCUCAACCUGGGAACGGCAUCCGGAACUGUCAGGUUAGAGUGCAGGAGAGGAAGGUAGAAUUCCCGGUGUAGCGGUGAAAUGCGUAGAGAUCGGGAGGAAUACCAGUGGCGAAGGCGGCCUUCUGGACUGACACUGACGCUGAGGUGCGAAAGCGUGGGUAGCAAACAGGAUUAGAUACCCGAGUAGUC